UACAGAGGUGGCAAGCGUUGUUCGGAAUUACUGGGCGUAAAGGGCGCGUAGGCGGUCUUGUAAGUUCUGUGUGAAAUCCCUCGGCUCAACUGAGGAACUGCACGGAAAACUGCGAGGCUUGAGUUCGGGAGAGGGAAGCGGAAUUCCGGGUGUAGCGGUGAAAUGCGUAGAUAUCCGGAGGAACACCGGUGGCGAAGGCGGCUUCCUGGACCAACACUGACGCUGAGGAGCGAAAGCCAGGGGAGCAAACGGG
rnacentral:rRNA from 1 species